rnacentral:rRNA from 1 species
ACGGGGUGCAGCAGGCGCGAAACCUCCGCAAUGUGAGAAAUCGCGACGGGGGGAUCCCAAGUGCCAUUCUUAACGGGAUGGCUUUUCAUUAGUGUAAAGAGCUUUUGGAAUAAGAGCUGGGCAAGACCGGUGCCAGCCGCCGCGGUAACACCGGCAGCUCUAGUGGUAGCAGUUUUUAUUGGGCCUAAAGCGUCCGUAGCCGGUUUAAUAAGUCUCUGGUGAAAUCCUGCAGCUUAACUGUGGGAAUUGCUGGAGAUACUAUUAGACUUGAGAUCGGGAGAGGUUAGAGGUACUCCCAGGG